GACGAACGCUGGCGGCGUGCUUAACACAUGCAAGUCGAACGCUGAAGCUCAGCUUUUGUUGGGUGGAUGAGUGGCGAACGGGUGAGUAACACGUGAGUAACCUGCCCCCUUCUUUGGGAUAACGCCCGGAAACGGGUGCUAAUACUGGAUAUUCACUGGUCUUCGCAUGGGGGUUGGUGGAAAGGGUUUUUCUGGUGGGGGAUGGGCUCGCGGCCUAUCAGCUUGUUGGUGGGGUGAUGGCCUACCAAGGCUUUGACGGGUAGCCGGCCUGAGAGAGUGACCGGUCACAUUGGGACUGAGAUACGGCCCAGACUCCUACGGGAGGCAGCAGUGGGGAAUAUUGCACAAUGGGCGCAAGCCUGAUGCAGCGACGCCGCGUGAGGGAUGGAGGCCUUCGGGUUGUGAACCUCUUUCGCUCAUGGUCAAGCCGCAACAAUGGUUGUGGUGAGGGUAGUGGGUAAAGAAGCGCCGGCUAACUACGUG
rnacentral:rRNA from 1 species